CAGGUUUGGGACAUGGGUGAAGGGGCACAGCCUUGUCCCUCUCCUGCUGCUCAGGAUAGAAGUUCUUUCUAGAUUCCCAUCUUCAUUCCCCGAAGGCAGCCGGGCAGCCGGGCAUCAGGAGGCAAUUGGCCCCUCUCUGGUCCUCCUGCUGUGUGGCCCUGACACAGCCAUCUACACGUCUGAGCCUCAGUUUCCAUAUUCACUCAGAGUACAGCAUGCCACCACACCCUGCCUACCUUUGAAUCCAGCUCUGCCUAGCAAGGAACUCAAUCUGGUUGAGGAAGCCUUCCAGAUGGAGGGAUCAACAUGUACAGAGAAAAGAUCCUGAACCCAAGAGAUGAGGAAGUGGCCAAGGAACUGGGGUGACACGAGGCUACAGGGAAAACAAGCCCGAUGACAUGUCCCUUGUCAGCCAGGGGCGAUGGUGGAUUUUGUCCUGAGUACAAGAAGCAGAAACUGGAAGGCUUAAAGCAGCAGGAUGUGGCGCUGCCUGCCAUUCAGUCUACAAGAAUGGCAGGGGUGGUUGGAGGAGCGUGGGCGGGGCUGGAGGGGCGUGGGCGGGGCUGGAGGGGCGUGGGCGGGGCUGGAGGAGUGUGGGCGGGGCUGGAGAAGGGGAACAGUGCAUGGCUGGGGUCCUAAACCCUUCCUUCAACUUUCCCUGCUUUCUCUCUCCCUCAAGGCGAGCCCUGAUUCCAGUAAGGUAGGAUGACCCAGAGACCUGCAGGUCCUAGGGUCGGGCAGGGUGGCCCGCAGUGAGGACUGGAAAGACCCACCGCAGAGCCUGUAAAUGAGGUCAAGGAAAGGCAAUCCUUGGGCCUGUGAGGCAAGCCUCUGGACGUGUUUGCUUUGAGUCUGCUCCAGUAGCUGUAACAAGACACCGGAGACUAGGUGAUUUAUAAAGAACAGAGGUUUAUUCAGUUCAUGGUUCCGGAGACUUGGAGGGCAGAAUGUGGUGGUUAGCGUCCAUUUGAAGAGCUCUAGAAUGUGACAGGAAUAAAUCUCUGGGCCUGUGAGGGUUUCUGCAGGGUUAAUUAAAGGCCGGCACCACCAUCCCACAGGCAGGGGUCUUGGACUGAAUCCAGAGAAGAAAGUGGGCUGAGCAACGGCACCCUCUGCUUCCUGCCUCUGUGUGUCAUGUGACCAGCUGCCAUGCCGUCUCUGUCUCUGCUAUGAUAGACUGUAUGUACCCUUGAACCACAAGUCUUUCUUCCUUCAGUUGGUUUUGCCAGGUAUUUGGUGAUGGUGACAAAAAGGUAACUUUUUUUUUUUUUUUUUUUUUUUUUUUUUUGGUUUUUCGAGACAGGGUUUCUCUGUGUAGCCCUGGCUGUCCUGGAACUCACUCAGUAGACCAGGCUGUCCUCAAACUCAGAAA
rnacentral:lncRNA from 1 species